GUUAAGCGACUAAGCGUACACGGUGGAUGCCCUGGCAGUCAGAGGCGAUGAAGGACGUGCUAAUCUGCGAUAAGCGUCGGUAAGGUGAUAUGAACCGUUAUAACCGGCGAUUUCCGAAUGGGGAAACCCAGUGUGAUUCGUCACACUAUCAUUAACUGAAUCCAUAGGUUAAUGAGGCGAACCGGGGGAACUGAAACAUCUAAGUACCCCGAGGAAAAGAAAUCAACCGAGAUUCCCCCAGUAGCGGCGAGCGAACGGGGAGCAGCCCAGAGCCUGAAUCAGUGUGUGUGUUAGUGGAAGCGUCUGGAAAGGCGCGCGAUACAGGGUGACAGCCCCGUACACAAAAAUGCACAUGCUGUGAGCUCGAUGAGUAGGGCGGGACACGUGGUAUCCUGUCUGAAUAUGGGGGGACCAUCCUCCAAGGCUAAAUACUCCUGACUGACCGAUAGUGAACCAGUACCGUGAGGGAAAGGCGAAAAGAACCCCGGCGAGGGGAGUGAAAAAGAACCUGAAACCGUGUACGUACAAGCAGUGGGAGCACGCUUAGGCGUGUGACUGCGUACCUUUUGUAUAAUGGGUCAGCGACUUAUAUUCUGUAGCAAGGUUAACCGAAUAGGGGAGCCGAAGGGAAACCGAGUCUUAACUGGGCGUUAAGUUGCAGGGUAUAGACCCGAAACCCGGUGAUCUAGCCAUGGGCAGGUUGAAGGUUGGGUAACACUAACUGGAGGACCGAACCGACUAAUGUUGAAAAAUUAGCGGAUGACUUGUGGCUGGGGGUGAAAGGCCAAUCAAACCGGGAGAUAGCUGGUUCUCCCCGAAAGCUAUUUAGGUAGCGCCUCGUGAAUUCAUCUCCGGGGGUAGAGCACUGUUUCGGCAAGGGGGUCAUCCCGACUUACCAACCCGAUGCAAACUGCGAAUACCGGAGAAUGUUAUCACGGGAGACACACGGCGGGUGCUAACGUCCGUCGUGAAGAGGGAAACAACCCAGACCGCCAGCUAAGGUCCCAAAGUCAUGGUUAAGUGGGAAACGAUGUGGGAAGGCCCAGACAGCCAGGAUGUUGGCUUAGAAGCAGCCAUCAUUUAAAGAAAGCGUAAUAGCUCACUGGUCGAGUCGGCCUGCGCGGAAGAUGUAACGGGGCUAAACCAUGCACCGAAGCUGCGGCAGCGACGCUGAUGCGUUGUUGGGUAGGGGAGCGUUCUGUAAGCCUGCGAAGGUGUGCUGUGAGGCAUGCUGGAGGUAUCAGAAGUGCGAAUGCUGACAUAAGUAACGAUAAAGCGGGUGAAAAGCCCGCUCGCCGGAAGACCAAGGGUUCCUGUCCAACGUUAAUCGGGGCAGGGUGAGUCGACCCCUAAGGCGAGGCCGAAAGGCGUAGUCGAUGGGAAACAGGUUAAUAUUCCUGUACUUGGUGUUACUGCGAAGGGGGGACGGAGAAGGCUAUGUUGGCCGGGCGACGGUUGUCCCGGUUUAAGCGUGUAGGCUGGUUUUCCAGGCAAAUCCGGAAAAUCAAGGCUGAGGCGUGAUGACGAGGCACUACGGUGCUGAAGCAACAAAUGCCCUGCUUCCAGGAAAAGCCUCUAAGCAUCAGGUAACAUCAAAUCGUACCCCAAACCGACACAGGUGGUCAGGUAGAGAAUACCAAGGCGCUUGAGAGAACUCGGGUGAAGGAACUAGGCAAAAUGGUGCCGUAACUUCGGGAGAAGGCACGCUGAUAUGUAGGUGAAGUCCCUCGCGGAUGGAGCUGAAAUCAGUCGAAGAUACCAGCUGGCUGCAACUGUUUAUUAAAAACACAGCA
rnacentral:rRNA from 1 species